rnacentral:lncRNA from 1 species
UGGUCACUUUGAACAGAGCGGCCAGAGCGAGCACAGCGAACAUUUGUACACCUAUAUCUUUACCUAGCCAGCAUAGGAAUUAAAAGAGGUAGCGGGCACUAGAGCCAAAAGCAAAUAAUCUUACAUUGAACGAGUAAGACUGAGGACUCGGCGGACUUUGUCCGAGAAAACCCUCUUCACAUUGAAGAGGGUUUUUACUUACGUAAUAAAUUAACUGAGAAAAGAACCCAGGAGUUGUCGUAUAUCCACGAUAAAAGACGACUAUUACAGAUAUGUGCAGAAA